rnacentral:rRNA from 1 species
GAUGAACGCUGGCGGCGUGCCUAAUACAUGCAAGUCGAGCGGAAAGGCCCUUCGGGGUACUCGAGCGGCGGACGGCUGAGUAACGCGUAGGAACGUACCCCAAAGUGAGGGAUAACUGCUCGAAAGAGUAGCUAAUACCGCAUGUGCUCUUCGGAGUAAAGCUUCGGCGCUUUGGGAACGGCCUGCGUCCUAUUAGCUAGUUGGUGAGGUAAUUGCUCACCAAGGCGACGAUAGGUAGCUGGUCUGAGAGGAUGAUCAGCCACACUGGGACUGAGACACGGCCCAGACUCCUACGGGAGGCAGCAGUGGGGAAUUUUGGACAAUGGGCGCAAGCCUGAUCCAGCAAUGCCGCGUGCAGGAUGAAGGCCUUCGGGUUGUAAACUGCUUUUGUACGGAACGAAAAGCCCUGGGUUAAUACCCUGGGGUCAUGACGGUACCGUAAGAAUAAGCACCGGCUAACUACGUGCCAGCCGCCGCAGUAA